rnacentral:rRNA from 1 species
AUUGAACGCUGGCGGCAGGCUUAACACAUGCAAGUCGAGCGGAGAUGAGGUGCUUGCACCUUAUCUUAGCGGCGGACGGGUGAGUAAUGCUUAGGAAUCUGCCUAUUAGUGGGGGACAACAUUCCGAAAGGAAUGCUAAUACCGCAUACGUCCUACGGGAGAAAGCAGGGGAUCUUCGGACCUUGCGCUCAUAGAUGAGCCUAAGUCGGAUUAGCUAGUUGGUGGGGUAAAGGCCUACCAAGGCGACGAUCUGUAGCGGGUCGGAGAGGAUGAUCCGCCACACGGGGACUGAGAAACGGCCCAGACUCAUACGGGAGGCAGCAGUAGGGAAUAUUGGACAAUGGGGGGAACCCUGAUCCAGCCAUGCCGCGUGUGUGAAGAAGGCCUUAUGGUUGUAAAGCACUUUAAGCGAGGAGGAGGCUACUGAGACUAAUACUCUUGGAUAGUGGACGUUACUCGCAGAAUAAGCACCGGCUAACUCUGUGCCAGCCGCCGCAGUAAUAC